rnacentral:rRNA from 1 species
AUUGAACGCUGGCGGCAUGCUUUACACAUGCAAGUCGAACGGUAACAGGCCGCAAGGUGCUGACGAGUGGCGAACGGGUGAGUAAUGCAUCGGAACGUGCCCAGUCGUGGGGGAUAACUACUCGAAAGAGUAGCUAAUACAGCAUACGACCUAUGGAUGAAAGCGGGGGACCGUAAGGCCUCGCGCGAUUGGACCGGCCGAUGUCAGAUUAGGUAGUUGGUGGGGUAAAGGCUCACCAAGCCAACGAUCUGUAGCUGGUCUGAGAGGACGACCAGCCACACUGGGACUGAGACACGGCCCAGACUCCUACGGGAGGCAGCAGUGGGGAAUAUUGGACAAUGGGCGCAAGCCUGAUCCAGCAAUGCCGCGUGCAGGAAGAAGGCCUUCGGGUUGUAAACUGCUUUUGUACGGAACGAAACGGCUCUGGUUAAUACCCGGGGCUAAUGACGGUACCGUAAGAAUAAGCACCGGCUAACUACGUG